UCUGAUGCAGUAGAUUUAACUUCACGAUAGCACAAAUGACGAAAGUGCAGGUUCUAUUUCACUUGAAACUGUGGUUUUCUGAUUCAUUAGCUGAAGUUUCUUUACUACUGCGGAAUUUAAGUUGUAACUGGACGGAGGUGUAUGCUCACCGGCGCAGUUGCUUGCAAUUUAUUGUCCUCGUUUCGUCCGUUAUACAUGAGUGGCUACGGCGUAGAUGCUAAACCAAGUUUAAUACAACACAUCACUGCUCGUUGAUUAGCCAAAGCAAUGACUGAAUCCUGCUGUGUCCAUUUUCUGCCUUUUGCAGGCUCUUGAAGCAGUAAAAGGAUAUGUCCAAAGCAAGUCAUGCUAAUUGGAAUGGGUCAUGUAUUUGAUCGCCACGUGGAUAAUGAGUUCCUUAACCAAUGGUCUAUAAGCUCUACCUAGAUAAGAUGUCCAGUGCCGAUUCUUGUCCUAUCGUCAUACUUACUCAGGGAAGGAAUUCCAGUGCAGCUUGCUCAUAAUUGUCUUAGAAUCUCAUAGACCUAUGAUAAGGAACGUAAUCAAUAACACAUGAAGAGACGAGGACAAAAUACAAGAAGAAUGUGCCAGAAGCAUUGUACUAUGAUAAAGAAGUUUGAGAGAAAAGGUAAGUUUUUUUACAUACCAUGCUACGAUCUGAACUUUACACAUUUGCUCCCAAAGUACUUGGCAAUUUCAACUUCCUCAGUGCUUGAUAACUUUUCCAUCCUAAGCUUAGGUGAAAUUUUUAUUACCUUCAUUAAUGGGUUAAUUCCAAUAUAAGUAGUUUAAUUGUGUUUGUUAAAAGAAGAGAGAAAGGUCUUUGAAUUUGUUUAAAUAAAUGAAGAUUUUUUUUUGGAAAAUGUGACCUGCCCAUUGUCAUGAAAAGGGGAACCGUUGAAAAAACUUAGAUCAAAGAUCACAAGAAAAUAAAUGUAGGUUGAUUAGUCUUAAUCCAACAUCUCCCCAUUUGAAGAGAAUUUUGAUCCCUGUACAUUUACUGAUCAUCCAAGAUCUUUUCAAAGAUCAUAAUAAUAUCCUGUCCUGACCACCCCCCCUCGCCCUUCCCCAAGGGUGCUGAUGAACAUAAAUCUUAGCCAAUGAUCUGAUAGAUUUAGUAGUGAUUUUUGUCCUCAUUACCUCUUUGAAUAGAUGGUUAUUUGUUCCUCCCACCUCUCUCCAUUGUAUAGCCACCCUUUUCUACAGGAAAUCCCAAACAAGGCACAUUCUUUAACACAGGCAUGGUACAAGUGGGGAUAAAGAGAAUUUCAAUUCUAAAAGAAAAGGCAAGUAAAUUAGGUUUUGUCGGUUUAACACAAGUAAAUCUAAGAGUUCAAUUAGAACUGAACUUAAACCAGUUAAGACACAUAUUCCUGUCUAAGAACUAGAAAAAAAAUUAAUUUUUUAGAAAUUAAUGAAUGAGAUUGGAAUGAAAUGCUUGAGAAUGUGAAAAGAAGGUUUGAACAAUGGAUGCAUAUGUUAAAUCAAGUGAACAGUUCCAACCCAGGUCAAUCAAGGAAUUAAUAAAACAAGAAAGUGGUUCAUAAAGGAACGUGAUUAUGCAAGUGCUUUACUUGCCAAGGGAAUGUGAAAAGAAGGUUUGAACUAUGGAUGUAUAUGUUAAAUCAAGUGAACAUUUCCAACCUGGGUCCAUAAAGGAAUUAAUAAAACAAAAAGUAGAAAAAAGAAAGGAGCCCAAAUGUCUAAAAACGUGGAGAGUAUGGUCAAAGAAAGCAGGUAAGGAGUCAAAUCAUGUCUGUAUUGUUCAAAGAGAUGCAAAUGGUCAAAUAAAAUCAACAAGGACGUGUAAUUCAUGCCCUAACACACACCAAAAGACAUGUCGACCCAACACAACACGUGAUCAACACCCAACCCUCCCCUUCACUUUGAUUCUCCAUAAAGAAUGUUUUUGGACUUCACAAUUUCACCCCCCUCAAAUGCUCUUGGAAAAUAUGAUUUAUUAUUUAUUAUUUUGUUUGAAAAUAUUAUUAAUGCAACCCCAACCUCUUCCUUGGGGUUUGAGUUUACAGGAUAGUCAUUAGGCUUCUCGAGAUGCUUUUGAUUGUUUGAUAGAAAUAUGUUAUAGGUUAGUUCUUCUAAAAAUUUUCAAUUAUAUUCUUCUAGUUGAUAAUAACAAAUUUGAUUUAUUAUACUA